UUGAACGCUGGCGGCAUGCUUUACCCAUGCCAGUCGAACGGCAGCGCGGGCUUCGGCCUGGCGGCGAGUGGCGAACGGGUGAGUAAUGCAUCGGAACGUGCCCAGUAGUGGGGGAUAGCCCGGCGAAAGCCGGAUUAAUACCGCAUACGACCUGAGGGUGAAAGCGGGGGACCGAAAGGCCUCGCGCUAUUGGAGCGGCCGAUGUCGGAUUAGCUAGUUGGUGGGGUAAAGGCUUACCAAGGCGACGAUCCGUAGCUGGUCUGAGAGGACGACCAGCCACACUGGGACUGAGACACGGCCCAGACUCCUACGGGAGGCAGCAGUGGGGAAUUUUGGACAAUGGGGGCAACCCUGACCCAGCCAUGCCGCGUGCGGGAAGAAGGCCUUCGGGUUGUAAACCGCUUUUGUUCGGGAAGAAAUCCUCUGGGCUAAUACCCCGGGGGGAUGACGGUACCGGAAGAAUAAGCACCGGCUAACUACGUG
rnacentral:rRNA from 1 species